ACACGUGGGUAACCUGCCUGUAAGACUGGGAUAACUCCGGGAAACCGGAGCUAAUACCGGAUAGUUCCUUGAACCGCAUGGUUCAAGGAUGAAAGACGGUUUCGGCUGUCACUUACAGAUGGACCCGCGGCGCAUUAGCUAGUUGGUGGGGUAAUGGCUCACCAAGGCGACGAUGCGUAGCCGACCUGAGAGGGUGAUCGGCCACACUGGGACUGAGACACGGCCCAGACUCCUACGGGAGGCAGCAGUAGGGAAUCUUCCGCAAUGGACGAAAGUCUGACGGAGCAACGCCGCGUGAGUGAUGAAGGUUUUCGGAUCGUAAAGCUCUGUUGUUAGGGAAGAACAAGUGCGAGAGUAACUGCUCGCACCUUGACGGUACCUAACCAGAAAGCCACGGCUAACUACGUGCCAGCAGCCGCGGUAAUACGUAGGUGGCAAGCGUUGUCCGGAAUUAUUGGGCGUAAAGGGCUCGCAGGCGGUUUCUUAAGUCUGAUGUGAAAGCCCCCGGGCUCAACCGGGGAGGGUCAUUGGAAACUGGGAAACUUGAGUGCAGAAGAGGAGAGUGGAAUUCCACGUGUAGCGGUGAAAUGCGUAGAGAUGUGGAGGAACACCAGUGGCGAAGGCGACUCUCUGGUCUGUAACUGACGCUGAGGAGCGAAAGCGUGGGGAGCGAACAGGAUUAGAUACCCUUGGGUAGUCCACGCCGUAAACGAUGAGUGCUAAGUGUUAGGGGGUUUCCGCCCCUUAGUGCUGCAGCUAACGCAUUAAGCACUCCGCCUGGGGAGUACGGUCGCAAGACUGAAACUCAAAGGAAUUGACGGGGGCCCGCA
rnacentral:rRNA from 1 species